rnacentral:rRNA from 1 species
UGAGGAAUCUUGCGCAAUGGGGGCAACCCUGACGCAGCAACGCCGCGUGAGUGAGGAAGGUCUUCGGAUUGUAAAGCUCUGUCGGAUGGAAAGAACCGCAUAGGGGUAAAUAGCCUCUAUGUCUGACGGUACCAUCAAAGGAAGCACCGGCUAACUCCGUGCCAGCAGCCGCGGUAAUACGGGGGGUGCAAGCGUUGUCCGGAUUUACUGGGUGUAAAGGGCGCGUAGGCGGAUUUGUAAGUCAGUGGUGAAAGCCUGUAGCUUAACUACAGAACUGCCUCUGAUACUGCAUAUCUUGAGUUCGGAAGAGAGAAGCGGAAUUCCAGGUGUAGUAGUGAAAUACGUAGAUAUCUGGAAGAACACCAGUGGCGAAGGCGGCUUCUUGGUCCGUAACUGACGCUGAGGCGCGAAAGCGUGGGGAGCAAACAGG